UGUGAGCUGAGCAGACAGGGCUGCAAGGAAAUCUGGCGCGGUUCAAUAGCUCAUCUAGCCUGGGUUCCAGAAUCUAAAUUUUUCUCACUGACAAACUCAUUUCUCUACUGGGACAAGAUCAUGUGCUGGCUGGAAGUUCCAUUUCUACAGCAAGAACCCUAUCUGGAAGCACAGAAGUUGUCCUCUUGCCACAGCAGCUUGAACUUUUUGAUUGUUGUUGCUGCUUUCUCCCAUCACCCCCAUCCCCUUUUGACAAAGAUCCAACUGUAAAAAGUCUUACGUAACAGUUCAGGACUACUUCGGUUCUUUUACUGGUACCAGGAAUCGAACUCACGACCUUGCACUUGCCAGGCAGGCGCUUGUGCCGCUGAGCUAAAUCCCCAGUCCCUUCUGCCACUUAUUGUUUGUGUCAUCUUGGACCAGUUACUUACCUCACUUGGCCUUCCAGUUUUCAUCUGCAAAGUGGGAAAAAUAUACAGCAAGAGAUCCUGAAGGACUAUGAAAACAUUUACAGCUCCAAGUUGGAGAAAUAUGGGUUUCCAUAUUUCAUGUUAUCUCUGAAAAAAAAAAAAAAAAGGAGUGGUUACUUUUGGCAUCACAACAUGGACUUUUACCUGGACAAAGUUAAGAAACAUAGAAGCCACUGGGCAUGAUGGCACACACCUGUAAUCCCAGCAUUCAGGAGGCUGAGGCAGGAGGACCGUUGCGAG